rnacentral:rRNA from 1 species
UACGUAGGGUGCGAGCGUUGUCCGGAAUUAUUGGGCGUAAAGAGCUCGUAGGCGGUGUGUCACGUCGGCCGUGAAAACCUGCAGCUUAACUGUGGGCGUGCGGUCGAUACGGGCAGGCUAGAGUUCGGUAGGGGAGACUGGAAUUCCUGGUGUAGCGGUGAAAUGCGCAGAUAUCAGGAGGAACACCGAUGGCGAAGGCAGGUCUCUGGGCCGAUACUGACGCUGAGGAGCGAAAGCGUGGGGAGCGAACAGG